AGAGUUUGAUCAUGGCUCAGAUUGAACGCUGGCGGCAGGCCUAACACAUGCAAGUCGAACGGUAACAGGAAGCAGCUUGCUGCUUCGCUGACGAGUGGCGGACGGGUGAGUAAUGUCUGGGAAACUGCCUGAUGGAGGGGGAUAACUACUGGAAACGGUGGCUAAUACCGCAUAACGUCGCAAGACCAAAGAGGGGGGACCUUCGGGCCUCUUGCCAUCAGAUGUGCCCAGAUGGGAUUAGCUUGUUGGUGAGGUAACGGCUCACCAAGGCGACGAUCCCUAGCUGGUCUGAGAGGAUGACCAGCCACACUGGAACUGAGACACGGUCCAGACUCCUACGGGAGGCAGCAGUGGGGAAUAUUGCACAAUGGGCGCAAGCCUGAUGCAGCCAUGCCGCGUGUAUGAAGAAGGCCUUCGGGUUGUAAAGUACUUUCAGCGGGGAGGAAGGUGUUGUGGUUAAUAACCACAGCAAUUGACGUUACCCGCAGAAGAAGCACCGGCUAACUCCGUGCCAGCAGCCGCGGUAAUACGGAGGGUGCAAGCGUUAAUCGGAAUUACUGGGCGUAAAGCGCACGCAGGCGGUCUGUCAAGUCGGAUGUGAAAUCCCCGGGCUCAACCUGGGAACUGCAUUCGAAACUGGCAGGCUUGAGUCUUGUAGAGGGGGGUAGAAUUCCAGGUGUAGCGGUGAAAUGCGUAGAGAUCUGGAGGAAUACCGGUGGCGAAGGCGGCCCCCUGGACAAAGACUGACGCUCAGGUGCGAAAGCGUGGGGAGCAAACAGGAUUAGAUACCCUGGUAGUCCACGCCGUAAACGAUGUCUACUUGGAGGUUGUGCCCUUGAGGCGUGGCUUCCGGAGCUAACGCGUUAAGUAGACCGCCUGGGGAGUACGGCCGCAAGGUUAAAACUCAAAUGAAUUGACGGGGGCCCGCACAAGCGGUGGAGCAUGUGGUUUAAUUCGAUGCAACGCGAAGAACCUUACCUGGUCUUGACAUCCACAGAACUUUCCAGAGAUGGAUUGGUGCCUUCGGGAACUGUGAGACAGGUGCUGCAUGGCUGUCGUCAGCUCGUGUUGUGAAAUGUUGGGUUAAGUCCCGCAACGAGCGCAACCCUUAUCCUUUGUUGCCAGCGGUUAGGCCGGGAACUCAAAGGAGACUGCCAGUGAUAAACUGGAGGAAGGUGGGGAUGACGUCAAGUCAUCAUGGCCCUUACGACCAGGGCUACACACGUGCUACAAUGGCGCAUACAAAGAGAAGCGACCUCGCGAGAGCAAGCGGACCUCAUAAAGUGCGUCGUAGUCCGGAUUGGAGUCUGCAACUCGACUCCAUGAAGUCGGAAUCGCUAGUAAUCGUGGAUCAGAAUGCCACGGUGAAUACGUUCCCGGGCCUUGUACACACCGCCCGUCACACCAUGGGAGUGGGUUGCAAAAGAAGUAGGUAGCUUAACCUUCGGGAGGGCGCUUACCACUUUGUGAUUCAUGACUGGGGUGAAGUCGUAACAAGGUAACCGUAGGGGAACCUGCGGUUGGAUCACCU
rnacentral:rRNA from 1 species